GCACUGUGAUUACCAGGAUGUUCCCCAAAACGCUGAGUAGAAAUAUCAGACAAUACAGUAGAAUUCGAAUUAUCUGAUUCAAAUCUGAAAAUUGUCACAGGGAAAGAUCAGGCAAAGCACUAACAGGUUCCUAACAACAAGUCUGGCCCCCUUAAAGUUGAUAUACAGAGACUGGAAGGCCUGGACUUCUUUUCCAGUCUCGACAGCUUUGCUUUAUCAUGCCAUUAAUGGGAAUAGAUUUUUUGCAGUUUUUGAAAAUCUGAGAUAAAAUGACUUAAGCCAGUGAUCGGUGUAUACCAUGUGUGACUGUCUCAGCUGAAAGAAAUAUUCAGUCCAGCAGGACUCAAUUCCAUUUUCAAGG